CGGGUGAGUAACACGUGGAUAACCUACCUAUAAGACUGGGAUAACUUCGGGAAACCGGAGCUAAUACCGGAUAAUAUUUUGAACCGCAUGGUUCAAAAGUGAAAGACGGCCUUGCUGUCACUUAUAGAUGGAUCCGCGCUGCAUUAGCUGGUUGGUAAGGUAACGGCUUACCAAGGCAACGAUGCAUAGCCGACCUGAGAGGGUGAUCGGCCACACUGGAACUGAGACACGGUCCAG
rnacentral:rRNA from 1 species